rnacentral:rRNA from 1 species
GACGAACGCUGGCGGCGUGGAUUAGGCAUGCAAGUCGAACGGUAUCAUCCUUUCGGGGGUGAGAGAGUGGCGAACUGGUGAGUAACACGUAGGUUAUCUACCCUCAAGACGGGGACAACCCAGGGAAACUUGGGCUAAUACCGGAUGUGAGCAACUUUUAGUUGUUUGAAAGGUGGCGUAAGCUGUCGCUUGGGGAUGAGCCUGCGUCCUAUUAGUUAGUUGGUGAGGUAAGAGCUCACCAAGGCGAUGAUAGAUAGGCGGCCUUAACGGGUGGUCGCCCACACUGGGAUUGAGAUACGGCCCAGACUCCUACGGGAGGCAGCAGUCGAGAAUAGUCUACAAUGGCCGGAAGGCUGAUAGUGCGACGCCGCGUGAACGAGGGAGCCCUUCGGGGUGUAAAGUUCUUUUAUAUGUGAGCAGUGCUUCUUAUAUUAACAGUAUGGGGAGAGAGAUAUUAGCAUAUGAAUAAGCAACGGCUAACUCCGUGCCAGCAGCCGCGGUAA